CACACCUGGCUGCAGCACACACGCCUCACCUGCACAGAGAGAGAUGUCAUGUUUAAGGUGGUCUCACUCGCAGCAUGACAGCACUUCUCCAUUACAGCACCAGCUGCCUCGACAUUCACACAGCCUGCCUGUCUGACGCCUGAUCACCAUGACAACCAGUCACCAUGUUACCUGACCUGUGGGGUUCUCCGGGGUGAUGGGGGUCCACGUCAGUCUGGUUCUGACUUAACGGGACACCUUAUCAGACGACGAGUGGGCGUGACAAAGCAUCUGUAUUUGACAACCUGCGAAUGAG